UUUUUAGCUCACCUGGCCCGAAGGGCCAAGUGAGCUUUUCCCAUCACUUGGCGUCCGGCGUCCGGCGUCGUCGUCGUCCGUCGUCGUUAACUUUUACAAAAAUCUUCUCCUCUGAAACUACUGGGCCAAAUUAAACCAAACUUGGCCACAAUCAUCAUUGGGGUAUCUAGUUUAAAAAAUGUGUGGCGUGACCCGGCCAACCAACCAAGAUGGCCGCCAUGGCUAAAAAUAGAACAUAGGGGUAAAAUGCAGUUUUUGGCUUAUAACUCAAAAACCAAAGCAUUUAGAGCAAAUCUGACACGGGUAAAUUUGUUUAUCAGGUCAAGAUCUAUCUGCCCUCAAAUUUUCAGAUGAAUCCGACAACCCGUUAUUGGGUUGCUGCCCCUGAACUGGUAAUUUUAGGGAAAUUUUGAAUAUUUUGAAUUAUCUUGAAUAUUAUUAUAGAUAGAGAUAAACUGUAAACAGCAAUAAUGUUCAGCAAAGUAAGAUUUACAAAUAAGUCAACAUGACCAAAAUGGUCAGUUGACCCCUUUAGGAGUUAUUGACCUUUAUAGUCAAUUUUUAACCAUUUUUUGUAAAUCUUAGUAAUCUUUUACAAAAAUCUUCUCCUCUGAAACUACUUGGCCAAAUUAAUCCAAACUUGGCCACAAUCAUCUUUGGGAUAUCUAGUUUAAAAAAUGUGUGGCGUGACCUGGCCAACCAACCAAGAUGGCCGCCAUGGCUAAAAAUAGAACAUAGGGGUAAAAUGCAGUUUUUGGCUUAUAACUCAAAAACCAAAGC
rnacentral:lncRNA from 1 species